rnacentral:rRNA from 1 species
GUAAGGAAUAUUGGACAAUGGGCGAAAGCCUGAUCCAGCCAUGCCGCGUGAGUGACGAAGGCCUUAGGGUUGUAAAGCUCUUUCAGCUGUGAGGAUAAUGACCGUAGUAGCAGAAGAAGCCCCGGCUAAUUUCGUGCCAGCAGCCGCGGUAAUACGAAAGGGGCAUGCGUUGUUCGGAAUCACUGGGCGUAAAGCGUACGUAGGCGGCGAUAUAAGUCAGAAGUGAAAUCCCAGGGCUCAACCUUGGAAUUGCUUUUGAAACUGAAUUGCUAGAGUCCCGGAGAGGUUGGCGGAAUUCCGAGUGUAGAGGUAAAAUUCGCAGAUAUUCGGAGGAACACCAGUGGCGUAGGCGGCCAACUGGACGGGAACUGACGCUGAGGUACGAAAGCGUGGGGAGCAAACAGGAUUAGAAACCCCUGUAGUCC